UGCAGGAAGCUUCAAAUGGUGAACUACAGCUGAGAGCUGCCUGCCUGGGGCCAGGAGUUGGUGUGAGGAUCCCGAGAGGUCGUACGAGUCUGUCAAGCUCCUCUCCUUGGAUGAUAUUUACCCCACCAACCCCCCACAGUUCUGUGUCCCCCUCAGAGAUCAUCAUGCACUUCGCUGUUUCCCAGAUACUGAAGCUCUGGACCUUCGUGGUAGACCUGGGCAUAUGUACUGCCAUGAUCUGUCUGACAUGUCUUCGUUGUGGCACACAGGAUCUUCACUGUGGCAUGCGGGAUCUUUAGUUGUGGCAUGCAGAC